UGCCAGCCGCCGCGGUAAUACGGAGGGUACGAACGUUAAUCGGAAUUACUGGGCGUAAAGAGCAUGUAGGCGGACUGUUAAGUCUGAUGUGAAAGCCCGGGGCUCAACCCCGGAAGUGCAUUGGAUACUGGCAGUCUUGAGUAUGGGAGAGGAAAGUGGAAUUCCGAGUGUAGGAGUGAAGUCCGUAGAUAUCCGGAGGAACACCAGUGGCGAAGGCGGCUUUCUGGACCAAUACUGACGCUGAGAUGCUAAAGCGUGGGGAGCGAACAGGAUUAGAUA
rnacentral:rRNA from 1 species